CCAUCCACCCUGUUGUGCCACAGCAGGAACUCCUUGACUGUUCUAGGUCUUUCCAUGAUGGAAGCGCAGGAAUUGGCUAUCACAAAUGGGAUCCAGUUCCCACUACAAACUGCCUCCUCAGCCCCCAGAAAUGAAGCAGGAAGAUUCCUCAUUGUGAUUCUUGGAGAUGCUGAGUUGGAGGUACAGGAGGUGCAAGGGGAUCCUGAUUCAGUUGUUGCUGAUGGCCUGUUACAGAGGAAAAGAGAAUUCGGCUGCCCUUUACAGAGGCCACCACCAGGACAAUAAACUAGGCUCUCCAUGUGGGUCAGGUGUCAUUCUCAGCCAAGACCUGCAAGCAACUUCGAUAUCCAUCAACAGAGGA